GAAUAUUGCGCAAUGGAGGAAACUCUGACGCAGCGACGCCGCGUGCGGGAUGAAGGCCUUCGGGUUGUAAACCGCUUUCAGUAGGGAAGAAGCGAAAGUGACGGUACCUACAAAAGAAGCACCGGCUAACUAUGUGCCAGCAGCCGCGGUAAUACAUAGGGUGCAAGCGUUGUCCGGAAUUAUUGGGCGUAAAGAGCUCGUAGGUCGUUUGUUACGUCGGAUGUGAAAAUCUGAGGCUCAACCUCAGACCUGCAUUCGAUACGGGCAAACUAGAGUUUGGUAGGGGAGACUGGAAUUCCUGGUGUAGCGGUGGAAUGCGCAGAUAUCAGGAGGAACAUCAACGGCGAAGGCAGGUCUCUGGGCCAAUACUGACACUGAGGAGCGAAAGCGCGGGGAGCGAACAGGAUUAGAUACCCGAGUAGUC
rnacentral:rRNA from 1 species